AGAAGCUUAGGUUAAUCCAAAACCAUAGGCCUUCAAAGCCUAUAAUAGGGCCCAAAUACUCCCUAGCUUCUG
rnacentral:tRNA from 1 species